UACGGAAGGCAGCAGUGGGGAAUAUUGCACAAUGGGCGCAAGCCUGAUGCAGCCAUGCCGCGUGUAUGAAAAAGGCCUUCGGGUUGUAAAGUACUUUCAGUCGUGAGGAAGGUGUUAAGGUUAAUAACCUUAGCAAUUGACGUUAGCGACAGAAGAAGCACCGGCUAACUCCGUGCCAGCAGCCGCGGUAAUACGGAGGGUGCGAGCGUUAAUCGGAAUUACUGGGCGUAAAGGGCACGCAGGCGGCUAAUUAAGUUGGAUGUGAAAUCCCCGGGCUUAACCUGGGAAUGGCAUUCAAGACUGGUUAGCUAGAGUCUUGUAGAGGGGGUAGAAUUCCAUGUGUAGCGGUGAAAUGCGUAGAGAUGUGGAGGAAUACCGGUGGCGAAGGCGGCCCCUGGACAAAGACUGACGCUCAUGUGCGAAAGCGUGGGGAGCAAACAGGGAUUAGAUACC
rnacentral:rRNA from 1 species